CUACGGGACGCUGCAGUGAGGAAUAUUGCACAAUGGGGGGAACCCUGAUGCAGCAACGCCGCGUGGAGGAUGACGCAUUUCGGUGUGUAAACUCCUUUUAUAUGUCAAGAAAAUGACGGUAGCAUAUGAAUAAGCGCCGGCUAACUCCGUGCCAGCAGCCGCGGUAAUACGGAGGGCGCAAGCGUUACUCGGAAUCACUGGGCGUAAAGGACGCGUAGGCGGGUUGAAAAGUCAGGUGUGAAAGCCUACAGCUUAACUGUAGAACUGCACUUGAAACUCUCAAUCUAGAGUAUGGGAGGGGCAGAUGGAAUUAGUGGUGUAGGGGUAAAAUCCGUAGAUAUCACUAGGAAUACCUAAAGCGAAGGCGAUCUCCUGGAACAUUACUGACGCUAAGGCGUGAAAGCGUGGGGAGCAAACAGGAUUAGAUACCCCUGUAGUC
rnacentral:rRNA from 1 species